AUUGAACGCUGGCGGAAUGCUUUACACAUGCAAGUCGAACGGCAGCACGGGGGCAGCCCUGGUGGCGAGUGGCGAACGGGUGAGUAAUACAUCGGAACGUGCCCGGUCUUGGGGGAUAACGUAGCGAAGGUUACCCUAAUAUCGCAUCCGAUCUGAGGAUGAAAGCGGGGGACCUUCGGUCCUCGCGCGAUCUGAGCGCCCGAUGUCAGAUUAGGUAGUUGGUUGGGUAAAGGCUUACCAAGCCGACGAUCUGUAGCUGGUCUGAGAGGACGACCAGCCACACUGGGACUGAGACACGGCCCAGACUCCUACGGGAGGCAGCAGUGGGGAAUUUUGGACAAUGGGCGCAAGCCUGAUCCAGCCAUUCCGCGUGCAGGACGAAGGCCUUCGGGUUGUAAACUGCUUUUGUACGGAACGAAAAGGCUCUGGCUAAUACCUGGGGCUCAAGACGGUACCGUAAGAAUAAGCACCGGCUAACUACGUG
rnacentral:rRNA from 1 species